ACCUGCCACAAAGUUAGCUAGGACUUGCGAUUUCAUCGCCGAUCGUGAAGUGAAAUUUACUACAUAGUGUGACAACUCCGUUGCUUAGUUGCCAAUUCUGCCCGAAGACUUUUGUUUUCAAAAAUGUCUCUCAAAGGAAAAGAGCUUGGCACAGUAAUUGUGUAACUCUGAAAGUAAUGCUUUAGCUCCUUGGAAGCCAUCACGAUUGAAAUAAGCCAUUUUUUCCUUUUGAAAAUAAAACUUCUUCGCACCCUCCAAAGCCUAAGAAACAAAGUAUACUAGUAACUGCUUCAUGUGACCAUCAACUUCUCUUUCUUCUACUAACACUGUGCUCAACGCCAGAUUGGACGCUGAGAUGUACAAUAGCAAUUUUGCUUUCUCCCCCGGGCUUGUCAAAACUACCAUGUUUUCUAGGUGCCCUUCCAACUCCUUGAAAGCUUUCUGCUCUUGCCCCCCCCAAAACAAAUUUGUUCUUUGUUGCCAGUAGCUUUAAGAAAGGUAAACUUCUUUCUGCUGACUUCAAGAUGAAACGCCCGAAAGCUACAAUUCUGCCUGUUAACUUUUGGAUGUCUCCUUUUGUUCUUGGUUGUUUCAUUUUUC
rnacentral:lncRNA from 1 species